GAUGAAGAACGUAGCGAAAUGCGAUAGGUAGUGUGAAUUGCAGAUGUAACGUGAAUCAUCGAAUCUUUGAACGCAAAUUGCACUCUCUGGUAUUCCGGGGAGUAUGCCUGUUUGAGGGUCGCCAAAUCAACAUCGAAAUUCAUUUGCUUUUGUAAAUGUUUAUCGGAUUUGAGCCGUCUUUUAUUUUUUUAAUUAAAGUGGCUUAAAAUGUAUUUUUUGGUAUCGAAAAACGUUAUUUUACGAUAAAAUUGAUUAAAAAAACAAACGUUUCGAAUGCCGUCUUUUAAUGUAAUACGCUUGACUGUGGUGUUAAUCAUAGUUUCAUUCGUAUACGAUUUUUUAAUUUUUGACCUCAAAUCAGGUAAGAACACCCGCUGAACUUAAGCAUAUCAAUAAGCGGAGGA
rnacentral:misc_RNA from 1 species